CUGAUAAAGGUUGUUUUUGAACAAAUUCUAUGUAUUCGGGGUCUAUCUCAAAACUAGAUGCUAUGAUAGGCUUUGAAGAUUUUGGUGGUUCGAGAUGUGUGCCCGUAGGUCUAUGAAAUUCAUAGAUAGACAUGUUUGAAUUCAUAAUAGACCAGAGAUCAAGGAUUAGAUAAGAAGAAAGAGUAGCAGAGAUAAGGCAAAGGAUAAAAGGAAAAAUAUUUUUUAUUAUAUUUUUUUUAGAAAAUGAUUAAGGUAGUUCGUAGUCAACUCAGCAACCGUUUCCCCGGCAACGGCGCCAAAAAUGCUUGUUGACACUUGCUAACACCACUUGAAUACUAGGUUGUCAUCCCCAGCAUGGCACUAGAGUGUACUAUGGUAUUUAUACGCACACAGAUAAUCCGCAAGCGCACGGAUACCGUUGAAGCUUUUACCCGGUUAAAGGUUUUAUCGUAUCCAUAGGGAAACGGGAGAACUGAUCUACGCUCUAACUUAACCAAGAUAAGUAAAUAGGUGUAAAUAGGAAAGAUGGUAGAAUCGAAUAAGACCAAUAUUAAAGGUAAGAUAACAGUG
rnacentral:lncRNA from 1 species